ACUUCAAUUACCACCACGACACCGGAAGGAAAACCAGACGUCGAAGUUUAUUCGCGGGACCUUGGGGCCUCUGGGAAACGUAGUCCAAGGCCGAAAACGUCCAGGCGUUCGAUGUGGGGAGCGGAGCCUAGCCGCCGGGAAGAUCACCCAAGCCCCGGAGACUCCUGGGAGCUCCAGCCUGCCCAAAGUACGCAGGCGCCAAGGGCUCGCCCUUGAUGGAGGCUUGUGGCUAUAGCAAAAAAAGGGAACCAAACCCGUUGCCGUCGAGUGGAUUCUGACUCAUAGCGAUCCUAUAGGUCAGAGUAGAACUGCCCCAUAGAGUUUCCAAGGAGCGCCUGGUAGAUUCGAACUGCUGACCUUUUGGCUAGCAGCCUUAGCACUUAACCACUAUGCCACCAGGGUUUCCUUGCAGCUAUAGUGUCCUCAAAAGGCUGAGGAGGCGAGUGAUAGCUCUGUGGGAGCGAGGUGCAGUCGAGGAGGAAACCGGAACCCAGGCUGAAAAUCUAAUCGGAGCUCUGUGCUGGGUGGAAGAAAGGGGAUGCAGAUGAUUGACGCACUGGUAACCGGUUGGAGUUCACCGAGAGGCCCCUUGGAAGAAAAGCCUGGCGAUCUUCUUCUGAAAAAUCAGCCACUGAAAACUCCCUGGAGCACAGUUCUGUUGUGACACACGUGGGGUCCCCGUGAGGCUGAAUGGACUCAUGGCAACUGGUUAUACGUGAGGCUGAAUGGACUCAUGGCAACUGGUUAUACGGGUUAUAUGCCCCCAAGGAGGGCCCGGGGCGUGGCCUUUGGGCGUGAUCCUAAGGGUGGGAGGGGGCUGUCGGAUUGUCAGAUCAGUCUCCUGAGGAAGCCUCAGCUUCCAGAACAGGACCUGGUACAUAGCAAGAACUCAAGAACUUAAAUGUGUGCCUGCCCUGGCACAGUUUUGUACCACCACCUUUAGAAAGUUCUCUCCUGCCAUUAGUCCCAAAACAGGCAACCACAGUUCUGACUUCCGUCACCAUAGUUCUGUCUGUUCAAAAAUUCUAGAAUUCUACUCUAGCUCAAUCUAAUGUAUCUGAAAUUCGUUAAUGUGGAAACGAAACCAGACCCCGUGCCGUAGGGUUGACUCCAGCUCCUAAUUUGCCACCCUAGAAGACAGAGAUGAACUUUCCCAUAGGGUUCCCAAAGAGCAGCUAGUGGAUUCAAACUGCUGACCUUUUGGUUAGCAGCCAGGCUCUUAACCACUGUACCACCAGGGCUCUGACUGUACCACCAGGGAUCCAUUAAUGUGUAGUUCAUCCUUUUUAUUUGGGAACAGUGUGCCUUUGUGUACAUAUGUCACAAUUUGUUCAUUUUCCUCUCUUGAUGAACGCUUGGUGUUUCUAGGUUUUAUUUAUUGUGAAUAAAGGUGGCAUAUUUUCAUUUUCCUGGGCAAAUAACUAGAAGAGAAAUGGCUGGGUGAUGGGUAAGCUUGUAUUUAGUUUUCUAAGAAAGCAAUAAACCUUUUAGAAUGACUAGUUUUGAGUGAUUUGUGUUUCCGAUUGUAUGCAACCGUUAAGGUAAAUGGUUUCUGGGUUUGAUUUUGUAUUCUUUUAUGGACUAUCUGAUAGGCUCAGUGAGAUUGUGUAUGUCAUGAAGGGCCCAUGGGAUUGUGGCUGUGUGAAGUGCUGAGAUGGUAGGCAACAGUGACUUUGUCUGUAUAUAAUUUACGUCAUUGCUUUGUGUGUAUGUUCCAUGCUGAGACUUACGGUGAAUCACUGUUAGCGGUAUUAAUGAAUGACUGAAAAACUGUGUGUGACUAUUUUGUUGAGUAUAUAUAAUGAUGAUUUGGCCUAAAGAAUUGUGACUGUUGCUAGCAGGUAAAAUAAGUAUGAGAAUUACAAAAUAAGAUGUAAGCUUACCAUAAUUUCCAGAUGACAGGAUUGUAUACCUGGAAACACUACAUAAAUGAAAUCCAGUAUGUUGAAAAGACUGUGACUCCAUAGGUAGCACACAAGAAAAAUACUUACCACCCCUGUCUGCCACUUUGUUCAGUUAGAUUUGAGUGAGUUCUUUUUCCUCCUUCCUCCUGGAUGAAAUGAUUUAAUAACUUCUUCAAGCAGUCUAAGGAAGAAUACCUGAAAUGCUUCUAAUCUCAAGGUGCCAUCAAGUUGGUUCCAACUCAUAGCAAGCCUGUGUGCAACAGAACGAAACACUGCUCAGUCCUGUGCCAUCCUCACAAUCGCCGCUAUGCUUGAGUCCACUGUUGGAGCCACUGUGUCAGUCCAUCUCGUUGAGGGUCUUCCUCUUUUUUGCUGACCCUCUACUUUACCAAGCAUGAUGUCUUUCUUCAGGGACCAAUCCCUCCUGAUAACAUGUCCAAAGUAUGAGAGACAUAGUCUCACUAUCCUUCGUUCUAAGGAGCAUUGGCUGUAGUCCUUCCAAGACAGAUUUGUUCAUUCUUUUGGCAGUCUGUGGUAUAUUGAAUAUUCUUCACCAGCACCAUGAUUCAAAGGUAUCAAUUCUUCUUUGGUCUUAUUCAUUGUUCAGCUUUUACAGGUAUAUGAGGCAAAUGAAAAGAUGUUUCAGAAAAUGGAUGCAGUGCUGGAAGUGCUCACUUGUCUAUGCCAAGAAAUUUGGAAGAAAGAUGAUCCAACCAAAUGUGGAAAUUAUUGAACAAUAUCACUAAUAUCACACGCAAGUAAGAUUUUGCUGAAGGUCAUUCAAAAGCGGUUGAAGCAGUACAUUGACAGGGAACUGCUAGAAAUUCAAGCCCAAUUCAGAAGAUAGGGAUAUCACUGCUGAUGUCAUAUGGAUCCUGGCUGAAAGCAGAGAAUACCAGAAAGAUGUUUACCUGUGUUUAACUGACUAUGCAAAGGCCUUCAAUUGUGUGAAUCAUAACAAAUUAUGGAUGACACUGGGAAGAAUGGGAAUUCCAGAACACUUAAUUGUGUUCAUGAGGAACCUGUACAUAGAUCAAGAGGCAGCCCUUCGAACAGAACAAGAGGAUACUGCAUGGUUUACAGUCAGGAAAGGUGCGCGUCAGGGUUGUAUCCUUUCACCAUGGUUAUUUGAUCUGUGUUCUGAGCAGAUAAUAUGCGAAGAUGGACUAUAUGAAGAAUGGGGCAUCAGGAUUGGAGGAAGACUCAUUAACAACCUAUGUGAGGCAGAUGACAUAACCUUGCUGGCUGAAAGUGAAGAGGAUUUGAAGUACUUACUGAUGAAGAUCAGAAACUACAGCCUUCAGUAUAGAUUACUCUUCAAAAUAAAACAAAAAUCCUCACAACCAGACCAAUAAGCAACAUCAUGGUAAAUGGAGAAAAUAUUGAAGUUGUCAAAGAUUUCAUUUUACCUGGAUCCACAAUGAACACCCAUGGAAGCAUUUCCUCCUUUUGAUCAGGUUUCUUCUAUGGAAUGUUUAAUCAAAACGUUCAGUAAUGGUAGCCAGACACCAUUCAGUUUUGGUCUCAUGGCAAAGGAGGCAGUUGCUCCUGGAGGCAAUUAGCCACACAUUCCAUAUCGUCCUCCUAGUCCUGACUCUCCUUCCACUGUUGCUCCAGGUGAAUAAAGACCAAUUGUGCCUUGGCUGGCGACUUGUAAGCUUUUAAGACAGCAGGCACUACGCAGUGAACUAAGAGGUAGAACAGAAGCACCAAACACGUUAUUAGGCCAAUUAACUGGGAUGUCCCAUGAAACCAUGACCCUAAACCUGCAAACCAAGAAACCAAAUCCCAUGAGGUCGUUGGUUGUACAUAAGCAGCCUCAGCAGCUACUCCUUUCUUUUGUCAUUAUUGUAAAUAUAUCUAUCAUACAACUUUUGCCACUUUAACUUUUUACAGGUGUACAACUUAUUGACAGCAAAUACAAUAAUCGUCCGUGCAACCCUACCCUUAAUCAAUGUGAUUUUUCCAUCACCGUUAACCCCUUUUUCUCCCUCCCUGCUGCCCCUGGUAACCACUAAUAAACUUUGGUCUGUAUACUUUUGCCUUUUCUUGUCUUUUUUAUAUAAGUGAGGUCAUACGAUAUUUAUCCUUUUGUGAUUGGCUUAUUUCACUCAGCGUAAUGGGGUCCAGCUCCAUCCAUACUGUAGCAUGUAUCAAGAUUUCAUUUCUCUUACUGGCUAAGUAGUAUUCCAUCAUAUGUAUGUACCACAUUUUGUUUAUCCAUUCAUCUGCUGAUGGGCAUUUAGGUUGUUUCCACCUUUUGGUAAUUGUGAACGGUGCUGCAAUGAACAUUGGUGUACAAGUCUCUUUUUGAGUCUCUGGUUUCAAGUUUUUUUGGUAUAUACCUGGGAGUGCAAUUGCUGGGUCUUGUGGUAGUUCUAUUUUUAGCUUUUUGGGGACAUACCAUACUGUUUUCCACAAUAGCUGUACCAUUUUUGCAUUUCCACCAGCAAUUAAUAAGGGUUCCAAUUUUACCACAUUCUUGUGAACACUUCUUAUUAUUUUUUAAUCUUAGCCAUCCUUGUAGGAGUGAAAUGGUAUCUCAUUGUGGUUUUGAUUUGCAUGUCUGUGGUGGUUAAUAAUAUUGAGCACUUUUUCAUGUGUUUGGUGACCAUCUGAAUCUCUUCUUUGAAAUGUCUACUCAAGUUCUUUGUCCAUUUUAGGAUUGGGUUAUUUGUCUUUUUGUUGUUAAGUUGUUGAAGUUGUAUACGUAUUUUGGUUAUUAGAUUCUUGCUGGAUAUAUGGUUUCUAAAGAUAUUCUCCCACGUGGUGGCUUGUCUUUUCACUUUUUUGGUAGUCUUUUGAUGAACAUAAGUUUUUAAUUUUUAUGAGGUCCCAUUUAUUUAUUUUGCUGUUUGUGCUUUUGUUAUUUUAUUAGAUGAUCCAUUGUUGACAGCUAGGUUUGCCAUUGUUGCCCCUACUUGUUCUUCUAAGAGUUUUAUGGAUUUUAGUUGCAUAUUUAGGUCCUUAAUACAUUUUGAAUUUGUUUUUGUGUGUGGUGUGAGGCAUGGAUCCUGCUUCAUUUUUCUGCAUGUGGAAAUCCAGUUUUCCCACCAUCAUUUAUUGCAGAGACUCUCUCUCCCUAUUGAAUGGACUUAGCCCCCCUCCCCUUUUUUUUUGAGGGAAGUGAUAGACUCAACCAUGGACUUGAAAAAUCUACACCUUCGCCUGGGAAUGUGGGCUGCAAAUAUCUGCUUUUAUAUUACACGUGUGAUACAAGAAUUCUAAGCUAAGAAAUUAAAAACUAGCACAGAACAAAUAUACAAAACCUUAAAGUUGGCAUGACUCUAGUAAUAUCAGACAACAGACCUCAAGACAAAGUGUAUUACAAGGGAUACAGAGGGAUACAACAUGAUUAUAAAAGUGAUUCAUUAAGAAUGUGUAUGCUUUCAUUAUAUAUUCAUCAGAAAUAUAUAUAACCUAUUACAAGACCAUUAAAUUUCAUGAAGCAAAAACUGACAGAAUAAAAGAUAAAUCCAAAGUCAUACUUGGAAAGCCAUAAUUACAUCCCAGUAACUCAUAGAACUUAUAGGCAAGACACUGAAUAAGUAUACAGAAGAUGUUAACACUAUCGACCAAAAUGACCUAAUUGACGGUUACAUAACAGUACAACCCACCACUGAAAAUUUGUUUUUCAUGUAUAUGGACUUUCUCCAAGAUCAGUUAUGUGCUCAACAGAAAAUAAGUCUCAUCAAUAAAUUUCAGAAGACAUAAAAUGGAAACCAAUAGCAUUAAGAAAUCUACAAAAUCCCCAAUAUUUGCAGAUUAAAUAACACGUUGAUCAAAGACGAACUCACAAGGAAAUUAGAAAAUGUUUUGAACCAAAUGAAAAUAACAAUGCAACAUAUAAAAUAACGACAAAAAGACAACCCAAUCCUAAAAUGGACAAAGAACUUGAAUAGACAUUUCAUCAAAGAGGAGAUUCAGAUGGCCACAAAACACAUGAAAUGUGAUGCAGUUGAAGAAUUUUCUAGAGGGACAUUUAUAGUUUAAAAAUGGCAGUACUACAAAGAGCGGAAAGACUUCAAAUAAGUGAUCUGUGUUUCCACUUUAAGAAACCUGGCGGGGUGGGGAGGGCAAACUAAACCCAAAGUAAAAAAGAAAAUAAAGAUAAGGGCAGGAAUCAAUGAAGUAGAAAACAUCCAGAAAAUAGGGGAAAUGAACAAAACCAAAAAUUGUUUGUAUUAAAAGAUUUCAGAAAUUGAGAAAUCACUGCUAAAAAUUCAUAAAAGAAUAAAUUGCCAAUGUCAGAAAUGAAAAUGAGGAUAUCAUUAUAGAUACUACAGAGAAUUAAAAAUAAGGGGAUAUUAUGAAAACCUUAUUCCAAUAAAUUCAACAACUUGGAUGAAAUCAAAUUUCUUGAAAAGCACAACUUCGUAAAACAGACUCAUGAAGAAACAAAAAAGAAUGAAUAUCAAAUUUAAUUUUUAAUUGUUGAAAAUAUACACAGCAGAACAUACACCAAUUUCUAUAUGUACAAUUCAGUGACAUUGAUUACAUUCUUAAAGUUGUACAACCAUUCUCACCCUCCUCUUCUGAAUUGUUCCUCCCCCAUUCACAUAAACUCACUUCCCUCUAAGCUUCCUAUCUAACCAUUUGAAUUGUUGUUGUCAAUUUGAUCCCAUAUAGAUAGUUCUUUAAACGAACACACUGCUCAAAGCUGACAUUCUUUACUACCAAUUAAGCUGAACAGUUGCUUGCUUUCAUGAAGACUUAAGGAGAAAUUUUUGGUUUAAGGCUUAACAGUUAUUCUCCGGGGAGUAGUUUUGGGGGGUUCAUCUAGCCUGAGUGGCUUCAGAAACUGGCUUCCACGAGAAUUUGAAAUUGUUUUGAAUUUCUGCCCCUUUUGAUCAGGAUUCAUCUAUCGAAUCUUUGAUCAAAACAUUCAGUAAUAGUAGCUGGGAGCUAUCCAGUUCUAGUCUCAUGGCAAACAGGUAGUUGUUCAUGGAGGCAAUUAGCCAUGUGUUGCAUUUUCUUCCUCCUGUUCCUGACUCUCUUGCCUCCAUUGCUGCAGGCUAAUGGAGACGAUUUGUACCUUUGAUGGCCACUAUGAACUUGGAAGAAAAAACUCAAGUCUGGAGUUACAAUAUUGAAGGAUUCUAUGGGGAAAAUAUUAAAUGACGCAGAAAGCAUCAAAAGAAGAUGGAAUACACAGAGUCACUGUACCAAAAAGAAUUGUUCAACGUUCAACCAUUUCAGGAGGUAGGAUAUAUAUGAUCAAGAACCAAUGGUACUCUCACUCCAACAAGGCUGGCAUUAAUCCAAAAAACACAAAAUGAUAAAUGUUGGAGAGGAUGUGGAGAGAUUGGAACACUUACACACUCUGGUGGGAAUGUAAAAUGGUACAACCACUUUGGAAAUCGAUCUGGCGCUUCCUUAAAAAAAGCGAGAAAUAGAACUACCACACGACCCAGCAAUCCCACUCCUCGGAAUAUAUCCUAGAGAAAUAAGAGCCUUUACAUGAACAGAUAUAUGCACACCCAUGUUUAUUGCAGCACUGUUUACAAUAGCAAAAAGAUGGACGCAACCAAGGUGUCUAUCAACGGAUGAAUGGAUAAAUUAUGGUAUAUUCACACAGCGGAAUACUAUGCAUUGAUAAAGAACAGUGAUGAAUCUGUGAAACAUUUCAUAACAUGGAGGAACCUGGAAGGCAUUAUGCUAAGUGAAAUUAGUCAGCUGCAAAAGGACAAAUACUGUAUAAGACUGCUAUUAUAAGAUCUUGAGAAAUAGUUUAAACUGAGAAGAACACACUCUUUUGUGGU